rnacentral:rRNA from 1 species
AUUGAACGCUGGCGGCAGGCCUAACACAUGCAAGUCGAGCGGAUGAAGGGAGCUUGCUCCUGGAUUCAGCGGCGGACGGGUGAGUAAUGCCUAGGAAUCUGCCUGGUAGUGGGGGAUAACGUCCGGAAACGGGCGCUAAUACCGCAUACGUCCUGAGGGAGAAAGUGGGGGAUCUUCGGACCUCACGCUAUCAGAUGAGCCUAGGUCGGAUUAGCUAGUUGGUGGGGUAAAGGCCUACCAAGGCGACGAUCCGUAACUGGUCUGAGAGGAUGAUCAGUCACACUGGAACUGAGACACGGUCCAGACUCCUACGGGAGGCAGCAGUGGGGAAUAUUGGACAAUGGGCGAAAGCCUGAUCCAGCCAUGCCGCGUGUGUGAAGAAGGUCUUCGGAUCGUAAAGCACUUUAAGUUGGGAGGAAGGGCAGUAAGUUAAUACCUGGCUGUUUUGACGUUACCAACAGAAUAAGCACCGGCUAACUUCGU